rnacentral:lncRNA from 10 species
GUUCUUGUUGCUAUUUUAUUUGUGAGCUACGUCAUACAUGCAGAGGAGUAAAGAAAACAUAUAUGUGUCAUUCAAUUGUCAUUAUAAAUUGAACACCCAUAUAACCACCACCAGGUCUAGAAUAGUAUUCAGCCCCCUCCCAGCAGCCCCUGUGUGUCCCCCUAUUCCAUCUCCUUCCCUCCCCCAGAAGUAGCCACUAUCCUAACUUGUGGAAACCGUUUUCUUUCUUUCCUCUUUAGUGUUACAACUAAAUGUGCCCCAUAAACAAGCAUCAGUUUGUGAAUAUCAUAUAAAUGGAAUUAGACCGGGUGUGGAGGUUCAUGUCUGUAAUAGCACUUUGGGAGGCCAAGGCAGGUGGAUCACCUGAGGUCAGGAGUUCGAGACCAGCCUGGCCAAUGUGGUAAAACCCUGCCGCUACUGAAAAUACAAAAAAAUUAGCUGGGCAUGGUGGCAGGCACCUGUAAUCUCAGCCACUCGGGAGGUUGAGGCAGGAGAAUUGCUUGAACACUGUGGAGGUUGCAGUGAGCCGAAAUCACGCCACUGCAUGCCAGCCUGGGCAACAGAGGAAGACCCUGUCUCAAAAAAAAAAAAAAAAAAAAAAAGAAAAAGAAAAAGGAAUGAUAUUGUAUAUAUUCUUUGUGACUUGUUUCUUCCUCACAAUUGUUCUUAGACAAUGUGUGAAGAGGCCUUUUUGGUGCCUGCUGAUGUUUUCCGGGAUGGUGGAUUCAGGAGUAUGCUGUCUUCACAAACAUUUCUGGCCUCAAAGUCACAUUGAGCAGCUUGGGCCUCCUAGCUCAGCCACUUAGUGUGUGACCUUUCUUGUCCUCCUUUGUAAAAUCAGAACAAAUUAUUCCUGUAGACAUGAGCACCUCAAGAGCAGGAGUGUUCCUCAUUUGCCAUUCUGUUCUCUAGAACUUGCAGUGCCUGGUGCCUAAUGAAUCCUGAGUGAACACAGGAGACAUGGUGAGAUCAUGUAUGUAAGGGCCUAAUACCACCCCUGAUUUAUAGCAACUGCUCAAUACAUGGGAGCCAAUCUUAUUAUUGCCACAGUGUUAUUUAUUUGAAUAUGGGAGGCAGCCUCUCAGAUGGCCGCCAGGGAGUCCCACCUCCUGGUAUUCUUGUAUUUGUACAUUCCUCGACUGUACACUGGAUAUAUUCACUCACUCCUAAGAAAUAGAAUGCAGCAGAAGGGAUGGAAUGUCACUUCCAAAAUUAUAAAAGACCAUGGCUUUUAUUUUGGGUCCUCUUUCUCACUGAGGUCUCUUGGAUUGCUCACCCUAGAGGAAGCCAGCUGCCAUGUCAUGAGGCAGCCCUGUGGGGAGGCUCAUGUGAUGAGGCGACUGAGUCCUGUAGACAACAACAAAUGUGAGCUUGGGAGUGGAUUCUCCAUCCAGUUGAGUCUUUGGAGGGGGCUGCGGUCCAGGCUGACAGCUUGACUGCCACGUUAUGAAAGACCGUCAGCCAGAGGCACCCAGCUAAGCCAUGCCUGGAUUCCUGACCCACAGAAACUGUGAGAUAACAAAUGUUUGUUGUUUUCCACGACUACAUUUUGUGGCAAUUAGUUACACAGCGAUAGAUAACUAAUGCAGUGCCUUUUCUUGGGUGAAAGAGUGCUGACAAUUUUUAGAGCCUGUGGCAGACAAGGAGAUGCACUGUUCAGAUCCCCAUUUAAGGGUGGGCUCACUGCCCAGCUGCAAAGAUUUCAGUUCACUGACAGCCUUCAAGUCCAGCUCAGCUUUCCAGCUGAGAUCAUGCUCUUCUUGGGACAUUCUCCCUAGUCAAUGACUGGGCAAGGGGGUGGAAGAACGGCCUAGCCAUCUCUGCUCAAUGCUGGACCCCUCCAGUGGGUAGUUUUUGCUUCAGAGCUUCCUGUUUGGCUGGUAGAGACUUUGAUAGGUCUCCUUCCAUGGGUGUUGCUCCCCAAUAAACCUUUCUAUUUUCCAUUCCCAUCAUAGCUUCUGCUUCCAGAGAAUCCAUUCUGUAAUGAAAUAUCUACUACACAGAAACUCAAGCUUUCAGCCAGGUGCAGAGGUGCUCACCUGUAAUCCCAGCACUUUGGGAGGCCAAGGCAGGAGGAUCGCUUGAGCUCAGGAGUUCAAGACCGGCCUGGGCAACAUAGCGAGACCCUGUCUCUGUGACACACACACACACACACACACACACACACACACACACAAAUUAGCCGGGCAUGGUGGUGCAUGUCUAUAGUCCUAACUAUUGGGAGACUGAGGCAGGAGAGUCACCUGAGCCUGUGAGCUCUAGGCUGCAGUGAGCCAUUAUCGUACCUCUACUCCAACCUGGGCAACAGAGUGAGAGCCUGUCUCUAACAAACAAACAAUCAAAUAAAGGCUCAAACUUUGUAGCCAACCCAGACCUGAGUCCAAAUACAGACUCUGCCCCUUGCUAGCUCUGUGACCCUGGGCAAAUUACUUAACUUUUCUGAGCCUUGAUUUUCCUACAUGUAAAAUAGAUGACAAAUAAUGUAGGAGCUGAAAUGGGAUACUUAUAGUGUAAAACAGAGUUCCCAGCUUCUAGUGAUAGUUAAAGGAUAAUUUUUUUUUUUUUGAGAUGGAGUCUCACUCUGUCACCCAGCCUGGAGUGCAGUGGUGUGAUCUCAGCUCACUGCAACUUCCGCCUCCUGGGGUCAAGUGAUUCUCGUGCCUCAGCCUCCCAAGUAGCUGAGAUUACAGGUAUGCGCCACCAUGCCUGGCUAAUUUUUGUAUUUUUAGUAGAGAUGGGGGUCUCACCAGGUUGGCCAGGCUGGUCUCGAACUCCUGACCUCAAGUGAUCCACCCACCUCGGCCUCCCAAAGUGCUGGGAUUACAGGUGUGAGCCAUCGCACCCAGCCAGGAGAACUAUUGUCUAUCCACAGACUACACAUCAACUAGUAUCUUUACAUUUUCCAUAAAAUGUUACUGGCAAUUGAUUAAAUACAUUGCCUAUUAUAUCUAUAGUAGAUCUUUGACAUUUGUGAGGAUUAUAUCCUUUACCUUUAUGAAAACUCAAGCUACCAAAGACCACUGUAGCACAUAUUGUCACAUAUAAAACAAAAUAAAGUACAACUGAAAAUUACACAUUACUCUGGUGUGUGUGUGUGUGUGUGUGUGUGUGUUUCAAGACAGGGUCUCACUCUGUCACUCAGCACCCAGGCUAGAGUACAGUGGCAUGAUCACAGCUCACUGUGGCUUCAAACUCCUGGGCUCAGACAAGUCUUCCAUCUCAGCCUCCCAAGUAGCUGGAACCACAGGUGCACAUCACCACACCCGGCUAAUUUUUAUUUUAUUUUUAUUUUCGUAGAGACAGGGCCUUGUUAGGUUGCCCAGGCUGGUCUCGAACUCUUGGGCUCAAGUGAUCCUCUUGCCUCAGUGCUAAGUGCUGGGAUUUAACAGGCGUGAGCCCCUGUGCCCGGCCUUCACUACUCUUUUAAGUCCUUAACAGUUCUAUAAGUAAGGAACUAAAGCUGUAUAAAGCUAUUAAAAAUAAGUGUGGCUUCAGUAAUGCCAAAGCAAUUUGGAGGAUUGUUUCUCUUGUUGGCACUGAACCUUACCACAUCAGAGGGCUGAGCCACUGCUGAAUGCCACCCUUUUAAUAAACCCAGACAUCUGAAAUUUAACAGGUCAAAACCUGUUUCUCCUACAGUCUGUGUCACCUUGGUAGAUAAUUCCAAGCCAGAAAACAGGAAGCCAUCAGUGAUAGCUCCCUCUUAUCCCUUACCUCCAAUCCAACAUCAUGUCUUAUUUAUCUAUUUGUUUUCCUUCAAAAUGGCCUAAAUCCCCUCACCCCUUUCCAUCCUCGCUGGUACCACCCCAGCUUCUUCUCUUUCAAGAGCCUGUUCACUUGCUCUCCUCUAGUUUAUUCUCCAUGAUACAGCCAGAUAGCUCUUUUUAAAAUGCAAACAAUGAUGAAUUUCCACAAUUCCCCAUGCAUUUGGAAUAACGGCUAUACUCUAUCUGCGCAAGCUACCCCCAGCCCCUCUCCACAAUCUGACCUGCACUCCCCAAACAUCCCCUUCCAGGAGUCAAUUUCUGUCUUGUCUUGUCUUAUUCAGCGCUGGCCAUAGGCAUUCCCUGUGUCUGGAACUCUCUUCUACAAGCUGUGGCUGCAGGCUCCUUUUUCUCCUUCAGAUCUGAACCUAAACAUCACCUCCACAUGGAAGCCUUUAUUAAGCAUCCUCUGAAAUAGGUUCCACCACAUAAAGCUUCCUUCUAUUAUUCGCAACCACAGUACCCACGUCAUUUCCUUCUUUGCAUGCACCCCUGUUGGUCAGGACACACUUAUUGGUUUAUUUGGAGGUUUCCCUCCAUUUGUUGCAGUUUCUUUGAGUGCAGAGGGCUUAUUCCUUGUGUUCAUCCAGAGCCAAUCCCAGUGCUGACCACAAUACAGAUUUCAUAAAUACAGUAAAUCCAGUAGUUCCCCCUUACCCAUGGGGGACAUGUUCCUAAACCCCCAGUGGAUGCCUAAAAUCACAGAUAGUACAAAACCUUUUUUUUUUUUAAUCUUUGUAGGUAGUGUAUUUUAAAUAGCUUUCAAGACACACAUAUUUUUUCCUUUAAAAAAGUCUGUUGGUGGCCGGGCGCGGUGGCUCACGCCUGUAAUCCCAGCACUUUGGGAGGCCAAGGCGGGCGGAUCACGAGGUCAGGAGUUUGAGACCAGCCUGGGCAACAUGGUGAAACCCCAUCUCUACUAAAAACACAAAAAAUUAGCCAGGCGUGGUGGCACACGCCUGUAAUCCCAGCUACUCAGGAGGCUGAGGCAGAAGAAUCGCUUGAACCCGGGAAGCGGAAGUUGCAGUGAGCCGCCGAGAUUGUGCCACUGUACUCCAGCCUGGGCGACAGAGCUAGACUUCCUCAAAAAAAAAAAAAAAAAAAAAAAAAAAAAAAGUCCGUUGGAGCAGUUUUGUUCCUGAAUUUUGCUGGUCAUUCUCAUGGUCCCGAGCCCCCAAACUCCAGGUCCUGGAGGCAGCCGAGGGGAAGGCUGGGAGCCCACGCGGCCUAUUCUGACGGCGCUCGCAGCACUGGUGGAGCAGCGGUGCCCCGUCUUGCCACAGAUCAUGCAUGGCCGCCAUGGUCCUUGCUGCCGUCAGCCUGCGCCCCAGGAGAGAACGUGGGGAUCUCGAAGCUGUCGUCAAAGAUGCCGAAAGCAAACUGUCCGUAG